rnacentral:tRNA from 1 species
GCCUGGGUGGCUCAGUUGGUUGAGCAUCUGACUUCAGCUCAGGUCAUGAUCUCACACAUUGUGGGUUCGAGCCCUGCGUCAGGCU